UACGUAGGGUGCAAGCGUUAUCCGGAAUUAUUGGGCGUAAAGAGCUCGUAGGCGGUUUGUCGCGUCUGCUGUGAAAACUGGAGGCUCAACCUCCAGCCUGCAGUGGGUACGGGCAAACUAGAGUGCGGUAGGGGAGAUUGGAAUUCCUGGUGUAGCGGUGGAAUGCGCAGAUAUCAGGAGGAACACCGGUGGCGAAGGCGGGUCUCUGGGCCGAUACUGACACUGAGGAGCGAAAGCGUGGGGGAGCGAACAGG
rnacentral:rRNA from 1 species